CCCGCCACCCUCUUCAUCCACCACAUUUAGACAUUAGUCUGAAAGAAGAGUGUCCUAUAAGCCAAUUGCAAGUGUAUUGCGAUGAAAUUUUUUUUUGUAAUUUUUCAACUUAUAUAAUAAUAUUUAUUAUUUGAUAAUAAAAUAAGACAUUAAUUCAUCAUAUUAGCUGCAUCUUAUUAUGUCUAAGAUUAUGAUGAACCCCAAAAAUUAGGACAAUGAUUUUAAGAGAUAUGAAUGGGUCAUACUGGUGAGACCUAAAAUCCUAAUCUUAAAUAUUCUUG
rnacentral:lncRNA from 1 species